UACGUAGGUGGCAAGCGUUGUCCGGAUUUAUUGGGCGUAAAGCGAGCGCAGGCGGUUCCUUAAGUCUGAUGUGAAAGCCCCCGGCUCAACCGGGGAGGGUCAUUGGAAACUGGGGAACUUGAGUGCAGAAGAGGAGAGUGGAAUUCCAUGUGUAGCGGUGAAAUGCGUAGAUAUAUGGAGGAACACCAGUGGCGAAGGCAACUCUCUGGUCUGUAACUGACGCUGAGGCUCGAAAGCGUGGGUAGCAACCAGG
rnacentral:rRNA from 1 species